rnacentral:lncRNA from 1 species
UAUGAGAGGACAACAGGACUCGUACCUCUCUGGGGUAGAUAUAUGAGAGGACAACAGGACUCGUACCUCUCUGGGGUAGAUAUAUGAGUGGACAACAGGACUCGUACCUCUCUGGGGUAGAUAUAUGAGAGGACAACAGGACUCGUACCUCUCUGGGGUAGAUAUAUGAGGUGUCAGUAUGAGAGGACAACAGGACUCGUACCUCUCUGGGGUAGAUAUAUGAGGUGUCAGUAUGAGGACAACAGGACUCGUACCUCUCUGGGGUAGAUAUAUGAGGUGUCAGUAUGAGGACAACAGGACUCGUACCUCUCUGGGGUAGAUAUAUGACGUCAGUAUGAGAGGACUCGUACCUCUCUGGGGUAGAUAUAUGAGGUGUCAGUAUGAGAGGACUCGUCCCUCUCUGGGGUAGAUAUAUGAGGUGUCAGUAUGAGAGGACUCGUCCCUCUCUGGGGUAGAUAUAUGAGAGGACAACAGGACUCGUGCCUCUCUGGGGUAGAUAUAUGAGGUGUCAGAAUGAGGACAACAGGACUCGUACCUCUCUGUUGUAGAGGACAUGAGACACCAGUCUCCCCACUCUGGUGUAGAGGACAUGAGACACCAGUCGCGUAGACACAGAAACAGACUGGAUGGGCCUCAGCUUGGCAGCGCGUGAUGGAUUCUGCAUGCACUCCUACAUCUGCUCUCCUCCAUCCCUCUCUCCUCCAGCCUCCUUCCUUCCUUCCCUCCAUCAUUCAGUCUCAUUCCUUCCCUCUCCUCCUUCCUUCAUCCCUCUCAUCCAGUCUCCUUCCUUCAUCCCUCUCUCCUCCAGUCUCCUUCCUUCCCUCUCUCAUUUCAGUCUCUCUCCGUCUCCAGCUCCCUCUCCAUAUUACUUGCGGCAGACCGGCUGUCACGAUUCUCCUCCCACUGGUUCCGUCGCUCCAGGCUGCUGUCAGCUCUCUCCUACUCUCCAUGUGCUCCACAGUCUAUUAUGUACAGUAUGGAGCUGUCUCUCACACACACACACACACACACACACACACACACACACACACACACGUGAAGAACCACUCCGUCCAUGAUUGAAAUCUGAAAGCGAGUGUCUGCAUGACUCACGACUGAAAAAACAUUCUAACACAAACCCGGCCCAAACUGCAACGUUUAGAAACCACCAGCAAACCCAGCCCAAACUGCAACGUUUAGAAACCACCAGCAAACCCAGCCCAAACUACAAGACAACGUUUAGAAACCACCAGCAAACCCGGCCCAAACUGCAACGUUUAGAAACCACCAGCAAACCCAGCCCAAACUACAACGUUUAUAAACCACCAGCAAACCCAGCCCAAACUACAACGUUUAGAAACCACCAGCAAACCCAGCCCAAACUGCAACGUUUAGAAACCACCAGCAAACCCAGCCCAAACUGCAACGUUUAGAAACCACCAGCAAACCCAGCCCAAACUACAACGUUUAGAAACCACCAGCAAACCCGGCCCAAACUGCAACGUUUAGAAACCACCAGCAAACCCAGCCCAAACUACAACGCAACGUUUAGAAACCACCAGCAAACCCAGCCCAAACUACAACGUUUAGAAACCAACAGCAAACCCAGCCCAAACUACAACGUUUAGAAACCACCAGCAAACCCAGCCCAAACUGCAACGUUUAGAAACCACCAGCAAACCCAGCCCAAACUGCAACGUUUAGAAACCACCAGCAAACCCAGCCCAAACUGCAACGUUUAGAAACCACCAGCAAACCCAGCCCAAACUGCAACGUUUAGAAACCACCAGCAAACCCAGCCCAAACUACAACGUUUAGAAACCACCAGCAAACCCAGCCCAAACUACAACGUUUAGAAACCACCAGCAAACCCGGCCCAAACUGCAACGUUUAGAAACCACCAGCAAACCCGGCCCAAACUGCAACGUUUAG